rnacentral:tRNA from 2 species
GGUUCCUUAGCUCAGUUGGUUAGAGUGCUGCCUUGACAUGGCAGAGGCCGCUGGUUCGAAUCCAGCAGGAACCACCA